AGUGAACGCUGGCGGCAGGCCUAACACAUGCAAGUCGAGCGGCAGCGCGGGGUCAACCCUGGCGGCGAGCGGCGGACGGGUGAGGAAUUCGUCGGAAUCUGCCUUUUUGUGGGGGAUAACGUAGGGAAACUUACGCUAAUACCGCAUACGUCCUACGGGAGAAAGUGGGGGACCGCAAGGCCUCCCGCAGCCAGAUGAGCCGACGCCCGAUUAGCUAGUUGGUGGGGUAAAGGCCCACCAAGGCGACGCUCGGUAGCUGGUCUGAGAGGAUGAUCAGCCACACUGGGACUGAGACACGGCCCAGACUCCUACGGGAGGCAGCAGUGGGGAAUAUUGGACAAGGGGCGCAAGCCUGAUCCAGCCAUGCCGCGUGUGUGAAGAAGGCCUUCGGGUUGUAAAGCACUUUUGUCCGGAAAGAAAUCCCUGGAGCUAAUACCUUCGGGGGAUGACGGUACCGGAAGAAUAAGCACCGGCUAACUUCGUG
rnacentral:rRNA from 1 species